GGGGAAUUUUGGACAAUGGGGGCAACCCUGAUCCAGCCAUGCCGCGUGGGUGAAGAAGGCCUUCGGGUUGUAAAGCCCUUUCGUCAGGGAAGAAAUCGCACAGGAUAAUACCUUGUGUGGAUGACGGUACCUGAAUAAGAAGCACCGGCUAACUACGUGCCAGCAGCCGCGGUAAUACGUAGGGUGCGAGCGUUAAUCGGAAUUACUGGGCGUAAAGCGUGCGCAGGCGGUUUCGUAAGACAGACGUGAAAUCCCCGGGCUCAACCUGGGAACUGCGUUAGUGACUGCGAAGCUAGCGUACGGCAGAGGGAGGUGGAAUUCCACGUGUAGCAGUGAAAUGCGUAGAGAUGUGGAGGAACACCGAUGGCGAAGGCAGCCUCCUGGGCCAGUACUGACGCUCAUGCACGAAAGCGUGGGGAGCAAAC
rnacentral:rRNA from 1 species